rnacentral:rRNA from 1 species
UACGGAGGGGGCUAGCGUUGUUCGGAAUUACUGGGCGUAAAGCGCACGUAGGCGGUUCGUUAAGUCGGAUGUGAAAUCUCUGGGCUUAACCCAGAAAUGGCAUUGGAUACUAUUUGGCUUGAGAGUUGGAGGGGGGACUGGAAUUCUUGGUGUAGCAGUGAAAUGCGUAGAUAUCAAGAGGAACACCAGUGGCGAAGGCGAGUCCCUGGACAACUUCUGACGCUGAGGCACGAAAGCGUGGGGAGCAAACAGG